UGGCGCACGGGUGCGUAACGCGUGGGAACCUGCCCUUAGGUUCGGAAUAACUCAGAGAAAUUUGAGCUAAUACCGGAUAAUGUCUUCGGACCAAAGAUUUAUCGCCUUUGGAUGGGCCCGCGUUGGAUUAGCUUGUUGGUGGGGUAAAAGCCUACCAAGGCGACGAUCCAUAGCUGGUCUGAGAGGAUGAUCAGCCACACUGGGACUGAGACACGGCCCAGACUCCUACGGGAGGCAGCAGUGGGGAAUAUUGGACAAUGGGCGAAAGCCUGAUCCAGCAAUGCCGCGUGAGUGAUGAAGGCCUUAGGGUUGUAAAGCUCUUUUACUAGGGAUGAUAAUGACAGUACCUAGAGAAUAAGCUCCGGCUAACUCCGUGCCAGCAGCCGCGGUAAU
rnacentral:rRNA from 1 species